AUGGACAGAAUGGUGUUUGCUGUAGUUAAUGGAGGUUCUUUCUCUGGAUCAGCAGUGGACACAUAUAUAUCAAGCCCCGGCAGAUCAGAUCUUCCAUUCGGAUUUGACGGCGUUGGGGUCUCAAACUUGUCUUUCAGGACAGCAAGGUCAGUUGCUCGGUUAACAGGGCACAGCUUUGGCAGCUGGUCCAAGAUCCAAGAAAAGCCAAACCAGAGUUCACAAACAACAGACAUGCCCCAUAGCCACAUUGCAUCUUCAUUCUUAUGCUUAAUUCUCCAUGUAAGGAACAGACCAAGAACGGCCAAGCGGAUGAGAACAAGAAGCCUGCAGGAAGCAUCAAGGAAACCAAGUUAA
rnacentral:rRNA from 1 species